UAUCAUUACAAUAUUUAUUUUCCAGGAAUUCUUGUUUGUAUUUGUGAUUUUGUAAGCAUAUCCACUGGCAUAAAUAAUUACCAUAUUUCAACUGCAAAAAUAUGAAACUUGAAAAUCUUAAAAGUCUGGGUUACUGGUUCUGCUUUUCAUUUAAAUAAUUUAUGCAAAACUGAAACAUAUUUAGGUGGGCCUCAUUUUCAGUUCUAAGUUUCCAGAUAACGAGAAGAAUUUAAACAAAGAAUUUAUAUAUCUGUUGGAGGCAUUUUUUGCUAAUUCAUGGAUGGACUUGUUAGUAGGCUUUUAAACAUGACUACAUGCAUACCAAGUGUUGUUUUUUUUUUCCUUCUAUUUUUUAAUUUCUUUUAGUGAAUUGGAUACCACAUACAAAGUAGGGCAUGGAUUAUGAAAUUAAACCAGGCAUAAUGGGUUUCCAUAAAUUGAGCCAGAUUUGGCUUGUCUAGAUCACCAUUAAAGUUUAAUAACUUAUUAACUAAUCCCAAAUUAAAGCUCAAAUCAUCUUUUGUUAAGCUCCAGUUUGACCUUGAGUUCAUUAACGUGUGUGUAUAUGUACACACACACACACACACACACACACACACGCUCUCAAUUAGCUCGUGAAACACUCAAGUAUUGUAAUACUUGAAUGUAGCUUGACAUACUACGAAAGUUUGACAUCAACAUGCUUAAAAUUUAGUUAAAUUUAAAUUUUAGUGUCCCGAGUUUGAGUAGAUUGGUGCAUUUUUUUAACACUCUUAUGGUUCAAAAUUAGCCUUAACCUUUUUAAGGAUCUAGACUUCUAAGAAAUUCAUUAAUCCUAAACUGAUAAGGACUUGAAAUAACACAUUCAGACUCCUAAAUUCCAGUCAGUAUUUCCAUCAGAGUUGGAAAUUGUCAAAGAUCCUUGAGACAUUUUAAAAUAGGACCAGCAACUAAUUUAUUUGAAUAGACAUAGCAAGAGUAAGGACUAGAGGAGACAUUGUAUGCUAUCUUAAUAAACCCUCUACCAAAUCUCGACCAUAAUUCUAACCUUCUUACCAAACCUCGACCAUAAUUCUAACCUUCUUACCAAACCUCGACCAUAAUUCUAACCUUCUUGAGUCUUUAAUCUCGUUUCUUGUGGGCUGCUUAUUAUUUGUGUGAGUGCUUUACUCUCAUGAUUAGAAGCUGGAAAUAUAAUAAUAAUAAUAAUAAUAAUAAUAAUAAUAAUAAUAAUUCACUUGAAAUGAUUACAAGUUGAUUUUAGGUAAUUAAGAUAAUUACCAGUGUGAAAGAACUUGCAUUAGUAUGAAAUCUUUAUUUUUCUUAAUGCAAGUUUCAUUUAUUCUUAAAUAUUUUUUUCCUUUGUAUACUUGGAAGUUGACUACAUAUGAAUAAAAACAAAUUGGGAGUUUUGAUAAGCCAGAAACUGGAUAUCAAUUUUAGCCAAUCUGUCUAAGUUUACAAAUAUAUUAGGCCUAAUGCGCAAAAAUGUCUACAUCUUUGUGGUGAUUUAUGUUUGUAGCCAAAACUUUAAAUUUUGGCUAAUAAAGCCAAACCUUUCAAUAUAGUCACAUUUAUAGCUCAAGAAUUAAAAUGCAUUUGGAAAAAGUAAAGCUAGAUUGUAAUGUAGUAUAAAAAGAAGCCAC
rnacentral:lncRNA from 1 species